AUCAGCCAAACUUCAGCUGACCUUUGGACUUACUGAGCAAGUAGCUUACAGCCUAGUGUGGAAGCCCCGGGGCUUUUCCACCGGCCGCAGGUCCGGCUCCGGUCUGGAGAGAAGGUGAAACGGCGCUUCGGGGCUCAGCCCCAGGACCCAAGCGGCCCCCGGAGCCUGGGACCGCACUCGGCAGACGCGAGGUCCCAGCGGCAGCGGCGGGAGGCGGCACCCACGAAGCCGCUGAGGGAAAGGAGCGUUUUUCCACCCCGGCAGGGGCCAGGAAGGAGGCUGGGAGCCUUGCGGCGCUAUUGGAGCUUCAACCUGCGUCUCCCUGAGGCGUGGAGAGGGCAGGAAAGGGGCCCGAGGGCACCCCAUCCUGACCUGCAGGAGAAAGAGGGAAACGGGCCUUUUUUUUUUUUUUUUUUAAUUUUUAUCCACGGGUCACAAAGCCAUAUAGCUCCUGCAGCCGAGGACACCCCUCCCCCCCCUAAGCCUCAGUUUCACCUGUAAAAUAUUGAUACCUAUAGUGCAGGAGAAGGGGGAUUGUAUGCAUUGAAUGAGACCAUCUGUGAAACCCUUUAGUUUAAUAAUAGCGUUCACACUUUGCAGUCUGGGGAGGUAGGAAGCGAAUUUCCAGUGGUAAAAUCUAACCCCCUGGAGGUUUAGGAUUCUCAAAAUCAGGCAGAUCCAGCGCUGGGGUUGGAGGGUCUGGGAGACUGGGGACAAAAAUUCAGAAACCACAGGGAAUUUGCAAAGGUGCUUCUAAGCAAAUUCUCCUACCUUUCCCACCUUUAACAGAUAAGUGGGAGGAAGUUGGGAUUAGUUCCCAACUUCCCAGGAAGAGAGGAGGAGGAAGGGUCAACAGCUCUCAAUCUGCCUGAUUCAGAGUCAGAUCUAGGUGUACAAGGGCUGGUCCUCCUUGUGUGCCCCAUGCAGUCGGGCUGCUAAGGAGGGAGGCAGCCUCUCAACACAGAACCUGCUACAAAUGCCUGGUCCUCAGGUGCUAGGAGCCGAAAGGAAGGAAGGUGGUUGUGUGCAUGGAGUCCUGGGGAACGUUUGCACUAUCCAGUCUCUCCCUAAGAAAAGGGUAAUAAGUUCAUGGAGAUGAGGUUUCCUCAUUUCACCUUAUUGUCUUCUAGUUUGUUGUGACAUAUGGCAGGCCCCUGCCCCUCACAAAUCAGCCCCCCGGGAAAACACUCUCCGCCUACCCGUCUCCCCUCAACCAGGAAAAUGAAGUGUUGAGAUGCAAUGUCCCGGAGAGCAAUCUCUUUUUCUGUCUCUCACUUGCUGUCAUGAUAGAAGAAGUCAAGUGUAAUGACGAUCAGCUUCUGUGUUUAGCUGGGAAAACCCAUUAGAAAGCCACUUCCUUUUUAACAACAGAGCUUUGAUUGUAGUUCCAUCUGCUGUUGCCCAGUCUGACUCUCAGGCUUCCUUCUCUCAACAUUCAGGUGGCAGCUAACCCGUCUCCCCCCAUCCCAAGCAAAUUAUGUGAACAUACAGGAAGUUUAACAAAGUUUAGGGAAACUUCCUAUGAAUAUCCAGGUAGUCUUGCAGGUGAUCUGUUUAUAUCCAGCAACUUCCUGUAACCCCCCCACCUGGAUCUACCUUGUAUACUCCUCCUAGUGCAAUCCGAGUGCUCACCAGGUAACCGCCACUGUAGAUCUGUGAACAGACCCAAUACCUGCACCUUCACAUGGAAAUUUAAAAAGAAAAGUGUAAGAACCCCAGCAGACAGUGCUUCAGGGUGUGAGUCAGAAAUGCUAACUAAAUGAACUGACUCAUAAAGCCCUUUGGUUAAACUUACCUCAAGCAGAGGAGACAAGAGCACAGUGAAAAUACUCUCUGUUUAUGCUGCAUAUAAGAUAAGGUGGUGAUGAUAUAGCAGGCCUAUUUUAAAGAUGGGAAAAUAAAACAUUUUAAGGGGGUGGCUUGGAGCAAGUGAAUAGAAAGGCUGAGACUGGGGCUCAGGAUUGCCUGAACAGGGCUUUAGGAUGAGAGAGAUCUCCAGCUUUCACUGCUAUGGCCGAUGGGAAGUUGAAAGGGGGGAGUCUAUGAAGGUUCAGAGCAGAGAAGAGAGGGUAGAUGUGGAAUCAAACAGACCUAAGCUUGGGCCUCAGAUCUGCCUAACCGCUCUGCAGCGAAGUGGGCAUUUUACACAGUCUUUCUCACCCUCAGUUUCCUUAGCUGGGAAAUGGUAACAUUCAUCUGUAUUUCUGUGAAGGUUAAAUGAGUUAGUAGCUGCAGGCUCCUGGAGUGUGACAGGCUCAAAAGUUUAGUAAGAAGACACACAUAGCACAUCGUGAAAACACAACAGGAAGUGAGGCAGCUGAUAGAUUUGGGCUCUUUGAUGCCCAGCCUUUUUUUUUUUUGAGUCACUGAAUUUAAAGAGACCAUAUUAGUUUCUCCUACUCAAACAAUGAAUCUGCAGUUCAAAUCCCAAGAUUUUUUUAUGGGAGAUGCAGUCCCUGAUGUGAGAUAAUUUAAAAUCAGCUGGCUUAUCACUCGAUGAAGGCUAUCCAAGCACCACCUUGGAAUUUUCACAGACUGGCAAAUGUGGUUCCCGGAGACUCUCUUGCAACUUUGCAGGAUAAGUGACAUUCUUUUUUUUGCUCUUGUGCCCACAGUCUUUCUCCUACUUUCCAUGAUAACCCUGCUUUGCUUACAGCAGGGAGAGCCUGUCACCUCCAUCCACGGCUACUCCAGGCGCCGAGACUUGCUCAUUGAUUCCGGACAGGCUCUAGAAGGCCUCAAAAUGAAAUCAUCUCUAGAGUUAAAUGUAAAUGCUGCCCUAUCCUGGUCUGAAGGAGAUUGGGGGCCUUAUUGUUAGAGAGCAGUGCCAGCCUGGAGAUCAUUCUAGAUGAUAGCAUUAGUAGCCUAAAGUUCUAGCUCUGGAUAUAAUGUGGUGGGGGGUGGGGGGUGAGGGGGCAUGACUCCACCUUCCCAAAGGUUUCUGUGAGCACUUCCUCUGGGUCUCUAAUCCUGCAUUUGAAAAAUGGCCUGUUGUUCUGGAUGAGUAUUUAAGUUCCCUGGCUUUUUCUUUAAAACUUAUCUUUUUAUUUUUUAAAAUUACAAUUGACACACAUUAUCAUAUUAGUUUCGGGUGUACACCCCAGUGAUUAGACAUGACAUAACUUACUAAGUGAUCAUCCUAAUAAAUUUCACUUCCCUAAAUUUUCUAUGACUCAAAAUUCCUCAAUAGUCCUAAACUGCCAGCAUGUGCAUUUCUAGGCCUUUGGGCCAAUGGUCCAAGAAGCUCGGGCUAGACCUCUGUGUAGCUCUGCACAUGGGACUUUUCACAUUAAAAAAAAAUACACCACAAACAGUAAGCUCCACAAGCGGGAACCAUUUCAUGUCUUCCUCUGCAAUGCCUAGAGAGAAGCCUGAAACAUAGCAGUUGCUCAAUAAAAUUCUUGUUGAAUAAAUGCCUAA